AGAGUUUGAUCCUGGCUCAGAAUCAACGCUGGCGGCGUGCCUAACACAUGCAAGUCGAACGAGAAAGUGGAGCAAUCCAUGAGUACAGUGGCGACCGGGUGAGUAACACGUGACUACCUGCCCUUGAGUGGGGGAUAACCUCGGGAAACCGAGGCUAAUACCGCAUAAUAUCGCAAGAUCAAAGGAGCAAUCCGCUUUUGGAGGGGGUCGCGGCUGAUUAGCUAGUUGGUAGGGUAAUGGCCUACCAAGGCAAAGAUCGGUAUCCGGCCUGAGAGGGCGCACGGACACACUGGAACUGAAACACGGUCCAGACUCCUACGGGAGGCAGCAGUGGGGAAUUUUGCGCAAUGGGGGAAACCCUGACGCAGCAACGCCGCGUGGAGGAUGAAGGCCCUUGGGUCGUAAA
rnacentral:rRNA from 1 species